GGGAAAGUGGCUCAGUGGUAGAGUGCUUGCCUCGCAUGCAUGAAGUCCUGGGUUCGAUUCCUCAGCACCA
rnacentral:tRNA from 1 species